UUGUACAACAUGUAGCAAACUCAAUCAAUAGAAGCGUCCAAUACAAAAGGUAUAUCUUAAUGUGUGUUUCUCUUAUGCAUCAAGAUAUGAGAUUACUGAUACUAUACAGUGACUGGUUGAUGGAUCUCAUGAUGGUACUAUACUACCAACAGAUAUCAGUGAAGAGUUGAUGGAGAGAUGUCUUUAUACUGGUACAUGUACACCACCUGAUCUUGUCAUUAGAACAUGAGGAGAAGUGAGAUUAAGUGACUUCCUUAUAUGGCAGAGCUCUUAUUCUUGUCUCUGUUUUCAAGAUGUGUUGUGGCCAGAGUUUUCCGUUUGGAAUUUAUUCUCUUCGAUAUUAACAUACCAACAGAAUUACAAUAAUAUAAAGGUUUGUUAGUAAUUAAUUGAAUCCUAUAGCUGCAUGUGUAGUGUAUGUAUCAUCCACCCCUUUUUCCCCU